rnacentral:rRNA from 1 species
GAUGAACGCUGGCGGCGUGCCUAAUACAUGCAAGUCGAGCGAACAGACGAGGAGCUUGCUCCUCUGACGUUAGCGGCGGACGGGUGAGUAACACGUGGAUAACCUACCUAUAAGACUGGGAUAACUUCGGGAAACCGGAGCUAAUACCGGAUAAUAUAUUGAACCGCAUGGUUCAAUAGUGAAAGACGGUUUUGCUGUCACUUAUAGAUGGAUCCGCGCCGCAUUAGCUAGUUGGUAAGGUAACGGCUUACCAAGGCAACGAUGCGUAGCCGACCUGAGAGGGUGAUGGGCCACACUGAAACUGAGACCCGGCCCAGUCUCCUAGGGAAGGCAGAGGUGGGGAACCUCCGGAAAUGGGCGAAAGCCUGCCGGAGCAACGCGGCGGGAGUGUUGAAGGUCUUCGGUUCGUAAACCCUUGUAUUAGGGAAGAACAAAUGUGUAAGUAACUAUGCACGUCUUGACGGUACCUAAUCAGAAAGCCACGGCUAACUACGUG